UACGGAGGGUGCGAGCGUUGUCCGGAAUCAUUGGGCGUAAAGGGCGCGUAGGUGGCGGGAUAAGCGUGCGGUGAAAGCUCGGGGCUCAACCCCGAGUCGGCCGUGCGAACUAUCUUGCUUGAGCACUGUAGAGGCAGGCGGAAUUCCGGGUGUAGCGGUGGAAUGCGUAGAGAUCCGGAAGAACACCGGUGGCGAAGGCGGCCUGCUGGGCAGUAGCUGACACUGAGGCGCGACAGCGUGGGGAGCAAAC
rnacentral:rRNA from 1 species